CCCAUUGUCAUCCAGGUACUUAUUUGGGAUGUUGAAGCACAACCAAAUAGACAUGCUGUCCUAGGAUCAAGCGAGUCUCGCCCUGAUCUGAUAUUAACAGGACAUAAGGAAAAUGCGGAAUUUGCGCUUGCCAUGUGUCCAGCAGAACCAUAUGUCCUAUCAGGAGGAAAGGACAAAUCUGUUGUCUUGUGGAGCAUCCAAGACCAUAUAUUUGCCCUUGGGGAUUCCUCGUCUUCUCCUGGAGCAUCUGGCAGCAAGCAGUCUGUUAAAUAAUAACCUAUGUAUUGAUGUUUAGGAAUUGAUGAUAAUGCAUGAUAAGAAUAAGAACAUUCUGCCAAUAAUAAGUAGCUUCAUUGUUAAAAUGAAAAGCUCCACAUGAAUAGUUUAAUUUCAGGUUUGAGUUCACCAACUUUAUUUGUAUCUUCAUCUAUUCAUAAUGAGACUAACUUUGAUAUUGUUGUUUACUAAUUAAUAUUAACUAAUUAACCUGAUUGUGAGUUGUUGAGAUGUUGAAGACGAGAAGAUGGCAGCGUGGAAGGCGCUUGGCGCGAUGUUGCUGGUGCAGCUGUUCAACACGGGCAAGGUGCUGUUUUCCAAUGUGGCCGUCGACGGCGGCAUGUUCGUCUUGGCCCUCCUCACCUACCGCAGCUUCUUCGCGGCGCCAUCAUCCUCCCUGUCCGUCUGAUUUUCUAUCAGCCGCCGCCGCCGACGAUGGAGGAGCAGCACCUCUCGUCUGUCCACCGCUGACCGCUCGUUUGUCAGCCUAGCACCGGGGUGCAUGAACGCCCAGUAUAUGCUACAGCACCGCCGCCCCUGGCCCUGCCGCCUGCGCCGCUCGUUGCCCUGUGCACUCCGCGGGCCUUGGGAAUGGCCAACCAGGAUAUUUAUCGGUUUGCCCACCCUCUCCUCUCUUCUCUUCUCUCCCGCCCGCUCUCCCUCUCUCCCUUCUCUCCGGCUUCCGAUUGGGUAUUGUUUAUUGGCUUCUGGCUUUAAUUAAUUACUGUAUUUGCAUGUUCAGGUAUGUUGUUCAUCCAUCUCGUAUGAUGAAGUGUUUUAUGCUCUUUUCCAAUUAUUGUUGCAAGUAGCAAAAUUAGAACAUGUCCUUAUGUUUAGACUAUGAAAGAAAACACUCAUUUCAAUUUGUAGGUGUAUUUUUCUGUUUCAGUUGGCAUAUCAUCAUGAGGAUGUGAAUUCCACAGGAAGACCCAUGUGAUCUUAUUGCUCCCUUAGAUCUUCCACAUUUUUUACAGUCUUAUUCCUUGCCGAGGGGAGUCCUGCUCCAGUAGUGGUCUCAGAAGGGGCAAAUACCAUGGAUGUUGGCAGGCCUGUGCUUGUGCAGAAUGCACCAAGGACAAGACUGGAUGCAGGGACAUGGGGGACGAUGGGGAUUGGAUUGGGGUACUGUAUUGCAGCUGCAGUAGCUGAACCUGAAUGACUCGUGGUUGCUGUGGAGGGCGAUUCUGGAUUUGGCUUCAGUGCAAUGGAGGUUGAUGUGAACAAGGGCUUCAACAGUGAUGCUGUUUUAGCAAUGGAGACGAUCCAUUCCCUGUCAGCUUCAAAAUCAAGUUACCCAAUGGCUGAUCUCACCCAACUCUUCAUGACAGCUACCCAAGAAGGGAAAAGAUCAGAAUCGCAAGGCCAGAUUCUUAGGGUGGAAUGCUAUAGCUUAAUGCCCUAAUCUUUAUAUGCCUCUUCUUAUAUCUGCACUUCCAUGGGCACCGGGCGACACUAAAUUCACAAGAUACCCCCUCCACCUCAAGGUGUAAGACCAUAGCUUCCAUCGCUCUUUACGUUAUGUAAUAUAUUUGUAGUAUGCUAAUUUGAUUCACCAUAAUCCUUACCAUUCAUACUAUUAUGCUUGUUUUUUCUCUCUUCAGUAAUCGUCGAAAAUGGUUCAUUGUUCAUAGUUCAAGCCAACUUAAUUUUAACGCAAAAAUGUAGCAGUACUUAAAGUUUCAUCUGUAAUUUAUCAAUGGAUAAGUGAGUUAGAAAUAGUAUUUAUCAUUAAUAGAUUACUUGCCUACAUCGCUUUGAAGAUACUGGAUAUUCUUUCAGAUAUUGGUGAAACCCCAUGAUGUAUCUGUUACAAUAUGUGAUGUGUAUAUUUUUUCAGAUAUUAGAUCCCUUGAUUAUCAUGAAAGAUGAUGGCAUUAUUCAUUGUGAUCUAAAUCCAGGAAAAAAUUCUUAUAGCUCCAACAUGAGUUAAUUCUUCUCGAUGCCAAUGUUGGCAUCUUGUGCCCUGAUGACUAAGUGGUGACUUUUGCAGUGUAGAAACAGCAGCUAGAGUGAAAGUAAUUGAUUUUGGAUCAGCACUUCCAUGGAGGGUAAACCCAUUUAUUUAUAUUCAAGUUUUGUUUGAAUCCACCUAGCAGUCUAAAUUUAAUGCUAUAGUAGUAUUUUGUGGAUUUCAAGUCAAGCUUCUACCCUUUCUUUUUUUAGAUCCGUUAUUAUAGGUCUCCAGGAGUACUUGUUUAUCCGUAUCAUGUGUGUCAUCUCUACAAUCAGACACUAUCUAUAAUUACACAAGCAUCACAUGAUGCUUAAGUUGUUAUGCUUUUAUGCAUUUCAGCGGUAUUUACUAGACCAAUUUUUUUAUCUUUUUUGUUCCAUAAUGUGCAUUAUUUUUCAGUUAUUCCCAUGUUUAAAAUAAAAUAUUUGUCCCUGUUCUUUGUAUGUUCUGUAGGUUCUUGAUGGUAAGCCAUACAACAAUAAGUGUGGUGUUUACAGUUUUGGCAUUUGUUUAUGGGAAAUCUAUUUGUUUAUGGGAAAUCUAUUGUUAAAUUACAGUUAAUGGGCUGAAGCGCGAGGCGGCGUCCCGCGGCGGCGCCACGGGGCACGACAAACUGCGGCUGCUCAUCAUCUCCCGGCGUGGCUCACGACGGUUCCUGAACGAGCGGGAGAUGGAGCGCGCCGCGGGCGACGCCGGGUUCUAGGUGCGGGUGGCGGAGCUCGACCAGCCACGGACAUGGCGACGUUCGUGGCGCUGGUGAACUAUUCCCAUAGAGUAAAAGGUUCAUCCAUUAUUUUUUUGUUUUUCAGAUGUGUGGUAAUGGAGUCCGUUGCUUCGGUCGGUUUAUAGCCGAGAUUGAAAAUCUGUAAGGGACAGCUAGGUAAUGCAUUGCGGCAUCACAGUAAAACAUUGUAUUUCUACAGACACUUCCAGUAACUGAACUCUAUUUUUUAGUUGUUCCCAUAAUAGUCAGCCACCUGGUAUACUGUUAUUGUCUUUCAGAUUUCAGACAUCAACCCCUUGCAGCUAUCUGAAACUCAGUGUUUGGCCGGGGCGAGGGAGGUUGGGAAGGAAGUGGAGGAGAGCGUGCUCCCAACACCGCUAGAGAGUUUUCAGUUUUUUCUCUUAUAUCACGUUCCUAGGAGCUUCGUGUUGUUUGCAUGUGUUGAUGUAUAUAUAAGGAAAUAUAUCCUUUUUGUGUUCUGCCUCUAACAAUUCUGAACAUGUAAUUUUGGAUUCUUAAUUUAUGUAUUGGUGCUACUUGGUUAUGUUAUCAGUUGCUGUUGAGAGGAUAUAUUGAUGCUUGACAAUUCAAAUAUUUGUUGCUAACUUGAAGAUUGUUAUUUUACUUCUCAUUGCAGUCUAUUCUAGAAAGUGUGAGCCAUGGAACAAAGCUGGUUGAAAAAAGAACUACAUGCAUUUACCCUGUUUUUGGUUUCAUCUUAUUUUUUCUUUCACAUGCUUUAUUGUAGGUGGUAUGGAGUUCUGUGUAUCACAAGAGGCAUCUAGGUUGACCUCACUCUUCUUAGUGUUCAUGCCCACUACGCAAGACAACACCGCAACGCCGAUGGAGUUGGAAGAUUUCAUUAGUUUCGACUGGAUCUGGAUGAGAUGGACUCUGCUUGUAAGGAGAGAGAGAGUGCAUGGCUUGGGAGGAGCAUAUUUUUGUUCAUCCUUUUCAUGAGUCAUGUUACCUGCCAUGUCAGAUUAUGUAACUUCAGAUAUUUCUGUUUUUGUUAGAAAAGUACCAAAAUAGUUUCACUUCAUGGCUACUCUCAGAUGUGUUAUUGUUGCUGCCACUAAUCAUAUAAGGGUAACAUUGUAUUUGUUAGCCAACAAUUUUUGAGAUAUUAAAGUUGGUGAUAAUAUAAUUGUUGUUUGUUUCUAUGUAA